UACGUAGGUGGCGAGCGUUAUCCGGAAUUAUUGGGCGUAAAGCGCGCGCAGGCGGUUCCUUAAGCCUGCUGUGAAAGCCCACGGCUCAACCGUGGAGGGUCAUUGGAAACUGGGGAACUUGAGUGCAGAAGAGAAGAGCGGAAUUCCACGUGUAGCGGUGAAAUGCGUAGAGAUGUGGAGGAACACCAGUGGCGAAGGCGGCUCUUUGGUCUGUAACUGACGCUGAGGCGCGAAAGCGUGGGGAGCAAACAGG
rnacentral:rRNA from 1 species